rnacentral:lncRNA from 1 species
GGCCCGUCUGUCCAUCCAUCACACUUAGGGUCUCAGGGGAACGGAUCUGCCUUGUCAAGCAUUCCUCUGCAGAAGAGAAGCCUGAGGGUACUGUCCUGAAAAUACUCAUGUCUGUAUCGCGGCUGCUGGGGGUGGCAGCGAGUACAACUGUGAUACACAAGAAAAAUUCUCAUCUGUAUCGCGGCGGCUGGGGGUGGCAGCGAGUGCAACUGUGAUACACAAGAUGACAUCACUUUGUAACUGCACAACUUUCCUGGCAUCCUCUAGGUGGACUUGUCAUUUCAGGGUCUCUGGUUCAUCGACAGUGGAACAGUUACUGAACGUGGGCUUCAACCAUCUUAUUCCAGUUUUUCUCAAGCUCAGUGUUAUUCACUAUUUUCUAGUUGAACCAGCUGAGGCUUGAAGAAGUUCAAUUACUUGCGCAUAGCUGAGCACGGUUUGAAACAAUUUGACUCCAAAGCCCAAGUGUGCUCCACUCUGGUUUCCUUUGUACCGGAAGCAGCCAAUCCUAUUCUCACUGACUCCACUGGACUCUGGCCAAUAAACACCAAUGUGCUGCUAAGGAGUCUCCCAACUCAGGCUGAAAGACCCACAGGACAGACACGGGGCACAGGACAGACACAGAGCACCACUCCAC